rnacentral:lncRNA from 1 species
ACUUCUAGAGGUAGCCUUUUAACCAACCAGUGGGGAAUGAAGCAUGUAUAUUAAUAAUGGACACUGAUAUGUAUUAUUUAGUGUAAUUUCUCAUACCAUGAUAUCAAUUUUUUUUAGUUAAAUAACAUGAGUUGGGAUAUGUUCCUUCCUAUUCCAUGUUCUUAAAUGGUUGUGUAAUAGCAGUAGUUUUAUUUUCCAUUAUAUAACUGAUUGAGUAUACUACUGAAACCAUACAGACCAAGUUUUUUUGUUACUAAAUAUUUUGAUAAAUUACGUGAUUAUUAUCAUUAUUUUUUGUGUGUUUGUUUUAGGCUUUUCAUUGUUAUUUUUUUCUUUUUCUCUUCUUUUUAUCUAGAAGUUUUUAGCCUAAUUGAAAAAAAAAACUCAAAGUUAAUAUAAUACACUUAAAAACCACAAAUGUCUCUAAAUUGAUCUGUGGUCUAAUAUAAAUAUUAAAUCUAUAAAGCUCUAAAAAAGAAGAUGCCUUAUAAUCCUUUGGGUACAUACCUAGUAAUGGGAUGGCUGGGUCAAAUGGUAUUUCUAGUUCUAGAUCCUUGAGGAAUCGCCACACUGUCUUCCACAAUGGUUGAACUAGUUUACAGUCCCACCAACAGUGUAAAAGUGUUCCUAUUUCUCCACAUCCUCACCAGCACCUGUUGUUUCCUGACUUUUUAAUGAUCGCUAUUCUAACUGGUGUGAGAUGGUAUCUCAUUGUGGUUUUGAUUUGCGUUUCUCUGAUGGCCGGUGAUGAUGAGCAUUUUUUCAUGUGUCUUUUGGCUGCAUAAAUGUCUUCCUUUAAGAAGUGUCUCUUCAUAUCCUUCGCCCACUUUUUGAUGGGGUUGUUUCUUUGUUUUUUGUAAAUUUGUUUGAGUUCUUUGUAGAUUCUGGAUAUUAGCCCUUUGUCAGAUGAGUAAAUUGCAAAAUUUU